rnacentral:rRNA from 2 species
GACGAACGCUGGCGGCGUGCCUAAUACAUGCAAGUCGAACGAACUCUGGUAUUGAUUGGUGCUUGCAUCAUGAUUUACAUUUGAGUGAGUGGCGAACUGGUGAGUAACACGUGGGAAACCUGCCCAGAAGCGGGGGAUAACACCUGGAAACAGAUGCUAAUACCGCAUAACAACUUGGACCGCAUGGUCCGAGUUUGAAAGAUGGCUUCGGCUAUCACUUUUGGAUGGUCCCGCGGCGUAUUAGCUAGAUGGUGGGGUAACGGCUCACCAUGGCAAUGAUACGUAGCCGACCUGAGAGGGUAAUCGGCCACAUUGGGACUGAGACACGGCCCAAACUCCUACGGGAGGCAGCAGUAGGGAAUCUUCCACAAUGGACGAAAGUCUGAUGGAGCAACGCCGCGUGAGUGAAGAAGGGUUUCGGCUCGUAAAACUCUGUUGUUAAAGAAGAACAUAUCUGAGAGUAACUGUUCAGGUAUUGACGGUAUUUAACCAGAAAGCCACGGCUAACUACGUGCCAGCAGCCGCGGUAAUACGUAGGUGGCAAGCGUUGUCCGGAUUUAUUGGGCGUAAAGCGAGCGCAGGCGGUUUUUUAAGUCUGAUGUGAAAGCCUUCGGCUCAACCGAAGAAGUGCAUCGGAAACUGGGAAACUUGAGUGCAGAAGAGGACAGUGGAACUCCAUGUGUAGCGGUGAAAUGCGUAGAUAUAUGGAAGAACACCAGUGGCGAAGGCGGCUGUCUGGUCUGUAACUGACGCUGAGGCUCGAAAGUAUGGGUAGCAAACAGGAUUAGAUACCCUGGUAGUCCAUACCGUAAACGAUGAAUGCUAAGUGUUGGAGGGUUUCCGCCCUUCAGUGCUGCAGCUAACGCAUUAAGCAUUCCGCCUGGGGAGUACGGCCGCAAGGCUGAAACUCAAAGGAAUUGACGGGGGCCCGCACAAGCGGUGGAGCAUGUGGUUUAAUUCGAAGCUACGCGAAGAACCUUACCAGGUCUUGACAUACUAUGCAAAUCUAAGAGAUUAGACGUUCCCUUCGGGGACAUGGAUACAGGUGGUGCAUGGUUGUCGUCAGCUCGUGUCGUGAGAUGUUGGGUUAAGUCCCGCAACGAGCGUAACCCUUAUUAUCAGUUGCCAGCAUUAAGUUGGGCACUCUGGUGAGACUGCCGGUGACAAACCGGAGGAAGGUGGGGAUGACGUCAAAUCAUCAUGCCCCUUAUGACCUGGGCUACACACGUGCUACAAUGGAUGGUACAACGAGUUGCGAACUCGCGAGAGUAAGCUAAUCUCUUAAAGCCAUUCUCAGUUCGGAUUGUAGGCUGCAACUCGCCUACAUGAAGUCGGAAUCGCUAGUAAUCGCGGAUCAGCAUGCCGCGGUGAAUACGUUCCCGGGCCUUGUACACACCGCCCGUCACACCAUGAGAGUUUGUAACACCCAAAGUCGGUGGGGUAACCUUUUAGGAACCAGCCGCCUAAGGUGGGACAGAUGAUUAGGGUG